AUUAGCGUGGCAGAGUCCGGCCAUUGCAAAAGAUCUAAGCUCUUUCCACGGAGGUUCAAGUCCUCCCUCUAAUU
rnacentral:tRNA from 1 species